GCCAUUUGUAAUUUUUGCCUAAUAUCUCCGUGCAGAUGCGAUCUUGACACGUUUUUGGCGGCUCCCACCCCGGCAGGGUCCCACACCCACGCGAACAUCCCACCCGGACGCCAGGUUCUCGAAAGCUAUACAGAUGUUCGGAGAUCCUCCGGCAAGAUGUGAUUAGGGAAGCAGUUUCACACCCACACUUCCAAAAGAAAAACCUUUGAAAAGUUACAAACUAAUAAAAGCCAGGAAGUUCCCGGGGAGGGCCCGGGCUCUAUCUUUAGCGGGGACGGGGGUGAACACCCUCCCCCAGGGUGGGGAGCGAGGCGAGUUUGUUUGCUUUGGAAUUUGGUGCUUCCUGGUUUUGUUAAAAAUCGCCGCUCCCUCACAAAUGCCUGCGAGGACCGGUUUUCUUGGAAGUGUUCUCUUAACCGACUGUUCAUGCGCCGCGAGGAGCUGAGAGACAGGUUAGAAUGACCCCAGAGGGCCCGACGACCUUCUUAGACAUUAAUAAAAUGGCAACAAUCAGUGGAACUUGCCCAACACGUGGGUCAGCAUCCUCAGGGGACAUCUGGACACAGAAACGCACACCCUAGGAAGAGGAGAAGAAGACACAGAAAAAAAACAGCCCUGUGAUUAGAAUGAAGAAAUCCACAGUCAAGGAAUCCCAAAGACUGCUGGCUACCAUCUGAGGCUAGGAACGGGCAAGGAAUUUCCCUACAGGAUGUGGAGGGAGCAUCGCUCUGCUGACACUUUGAUUUUGGACAAUAAAUGGUUGAGGUGCAUUGUUACAGUGGUGCUAGGACAGUAGAACAGAGCCUGUUAACUUUUUCCCCUAGAUGGUUUUCACUCUGUCCAAGAAUGGCUUAGAAAACAACACCAACAACAAGCCCAUUUUUAACAUCCUGAAGUUAAAUUUUGGGGCAGUGUUUAUUUUAGGGGAAAAUAAAGCCUUAACAAAGCAAGUUGAUUCUUUAAAAAAUGCAACAAAGAAAAACUUCAAAAUCCUUUAACAAUAAUAUUUGUUGUAACAUAAAACGUGCUAUCCAAGUGGCUGCAAAGAAUGACUACGUGGUUGUGCUAGUUAAUGCGCUACUUAAAAAGGAUUAAGUAAUCAUAGCAAUUAUGACUGAUAAGGCCCAAAAUGAACCAACUAGAACAAAGAAAGGAAGUUGCUGACUCAUCUCGCUGGUGGGAAGUUGAAGGCUCCAGCUCUCUGCUAUGGCCUGGGAUAGCAGUAGAAGAUGGCCUAAGUGCUUGAGCCCCUGCACCCACUUCGGAAGACCCAGAAAAAGCUCCUGGUUCCUGGCCUCGGAUCGGCGCAGCUCCAGCCAUUGCAGCCAUCUGGGAAGUGAACCAGCAGAUGGAAGACCUCUCUCUCUGUCUCUACCUCUCUCUGUAACUCUCUUUCAAAUAAAUAAAAUAAAUUAAAAAAAUAAAUAAAUAAAGGGGUUGGCAGAUGUCUGCCUCCUGAGGAAAGACCACAGCACUACCUCUAAUCUUCCAAAAAUUUGAAUGUGAAUUUGAUCAGGCUGCUAGAUCCAACUAUCAAUAAUUAAAGCAAAUACAAAAGAAAGAGGAACAUGUCCAUAACAAUUAAAUCAGGCACUGUCACACUGUGGAAAAUUACACUGCAGAUGUACUUUUGUGGGGCGGGGGGCAACUAAUUUAUUUUUCCCCCAGAAACCUUUUAUUUAAGGAAUACAAAUUUCAUGCAUUUCAUAAGUACAACUUUAGGAAGGACCAUAGUAAUGACUCCACCAUACCCACCCUCCCACCCAUUAUCCCACCCCUCUGCCUCUUCCCUCUCCUAUUCCCAUUCUUAUUUUUUACCAAGACUUAUUUUCAAUUAACUUUACACACAUAACAGACAUACUUCUUAAGGAAUGUAUUUCAAAGAAAGAAAACCGGAUACAAUCUAUAUAAUAUAAAAAAAUUUUAGAGGUUGGCGCUGUGGCGUAAUGAGUAAAGCCACUGCCUGCGUUGCUGGCAUCCCAUGUGGGCGCCAGUUCUAGUACUGGCUGCUCCAUUUUCCCAUCCAGCUCUCUACUAUGGCCUGGGAAAGCAGUUGAGAAUGGCCCAAGUUCUUGGGCCCCUAACUCAUGUGGAGACCCAGAAGAAGCUCCUGGCUCCUGGCUCCUGGCUUUGGAUCAGCCCAGCUCUGGCCAUUGUGGCCAUUUGGGGAGUGAACCAGCAAAUGGAAGAUCUCUCUAUCUCUGCCUCUCUGUAACUUUGACUUUCAAAUAAAUAAAUAAAUCUUUAAAAAAAAAAAAGAAACUCUAAAAAAAGUUAAAUCCAUAUCAAUCAUUAGCAGAGAAUCUGGAAUCAAAGUAUUUUUGAAAGAAUGGUGUUCAUGAGACUAUCAGAUAUUUGAUGAUAUUAAGUAUUAUGUUUCCAUCUAAGUAAUCUUUCUUUGAGAGAUACAUUCUAAAAUGUUUGCAAAUGAAAUGAUAAUGAUAGCUGGGGAUUACUUCAAAAUAUCCAUGGAGUGGGAGAAAUCAGUAGGGAUAUAGAUGAAGCAGGCUUGUCCACUGGUUGGUCGUUGUUGAAGUUAUUUGAUGGGUACAUGAAGUUCAUGAUAUUUAGUUGUCUACUCCGAUAUAUGCUUGGAAUUUUCCAUUUGCAAUUUUCCAUAGUAAAAUUUUAAGUACAAGAUUGGGGAAGAGGUACACUUGGCUGAUACUCUCCUUUUUCCUUUCUCUGACUUGGAGAUAAAUGUAUUGCUAGAGUCAUUGCAGCCUUCUUAUUGCCAUGAGGCAUAAAGGCAUGACAAUGAGAAUGGCAUAUCAGAAAUAUGGAAAAAAUUCUGAAUCUUUGAUUACACCCAUGAGAUCCAGACCACUGAUAUGGGAAAUAAAUUCAACUUUUUUAAGCUACUAUUGGAAAUGUUAUUUGUUAUUUAUUGCUGAAAGCAUCCUAAACUUAUUCAAUUACUAUGCAAUAAAUCUGACU